GUGUGGCCGUCCGUCUGUUAUUCAGUAUUGAGGGGGUCAUGUAUUCGUACGAGAACACAUAUGAAACUUUGCUUUCGAUAAUUUUGAAUAAAAACUUAACUAUUCACAUUUCUUUGGGGGCUCAAUUAAGCAGAGGAAGUUCCUUUUGUAUUGUGAAUCUUUUAAGAUAUCGGAAAUUCGUUACCGGCUGAAUCAGCUGUUGGAUCGUUUUUUUUAAGUCUCCCGAUCGUACGAGAACAUAAUUUAUGGUCAAUGCCUUAGUAGGUAAACACUCCCAUUCGUUGUAGCAGGGACUUUCUAUACUAAGUAUAUACUAGACUAGUAUAGAAAGUCCCUGGUUGUAGUUAUAUACAUGUCUGUUCAGCUUUCAACAAUAGUAUUGAAAUUCAAGAUCCUCGAUAAAAAAAAAAUAUCUUGCGUUCUAUUAUCUUGCUUUAUAUGUUUUUUGAACUUACCAGUUUCUAAAAAAAUAUCUUUAAAUACAGAUAAUAAUUGUUUGCAUGAAAAUUGCUCCAAGGAUCCAGCAAAACUGAUAUUUCUUAAAGUAAGGAAAUCGAAGGAAAACGGGUAAUUUUUAGCCAUAUCAUUUGAGAAAAAAAAUCCGCGGUCACAAUGUAUUUAAUGUUAACAAUUAUAGGUCAAAGUACGGCCUUCACGACGGAGCCUUGGCUCACCCCAAAUAGCAAUCUCAGCUUGUUUUUGCAUAAGUUUGAGUUGCUUCCAGGUUCAAGCAAUACUGAUGUUUCUUAAAGUAAGGAAAUCGAAGGGAAACGGG
rnacentral:lncRNA from 1 species